AAGUGCUUUAAAAGGUGGUUUUGUGCCCAGAGUUUUUGGGAAAGGAAAAAUCAAACAGAAACAAAUACUUGUCACCAAGAUUUCAGAAAAGAAGGUGACAGGGAAAAGCAUCUACCUGACCAUUAUCAGAGUGGACAGCCACUAGAACAGGCUGACUUGAACAUGGCAGCUUCCAGGCUGACUUGAAGAAGUCCAGAAGAGCUGCGGAGCCUACUCCCGAAUUCUCCAAGAGGGACGAAAAAAUAGGAAGUGGGAAAGAAGCCUGGAGUUCUACCAGCAGCCGGGCCCCUACAGAAACUAAGAGCCAGAAGUGGAAGCUCACUGUAGCUGUUACCAACCCUCUCGCUCAUCUCCCACCGCCAGGCUCCCCACCACUGGGCACAGAAAGUUCCACCAGCCUGCUUUUACCUUCAGAGCACAGCAUUUAAUGUCUAGACUACAGACUUCUAUCAAAUGCAGAGGACAGCUGAGUCACCGGGCAGAAGUCAACACUAGACCACUAUUUCAUCCUGUGACUGAGUCUGACUUAACCUUCACCCCCUGCUCCAUCAGCAUCCAGGAACACCUUUACCGGGCGGCUUCCAGCCCACAGGCCCUCAAUAGAUGGCAUGAUCUGUACCAUUGAGGAAAUAGCACUGGCUACUGAAGCUAGAAUAUUCCAGACUGACGGAGGUAGAAGGAGGUGCGGGCAGACUCCGUGCCAGAAGUGAUGCCCAAACCGCGUGUGAAGGAGACGUACAACUUCUGCAGGGGAGAGGGUCGGCGGGGGAGAAGGUGUGGACAGAGUGCCCCGGGCAAAGGGAACGGCGUGUGACCAGAGGCGACAAAGAGGAUGCCCCGUGCAGUCACAUUCCCUGGAUCCUGGAUCCUGUUAUGAAGUGCAAACUUUGCAAACUGUCAGAGCCUCAUGACCUGCCAUUUCCUCCUGCCGUAUGUCAAGGAAAGCCUCAAACUGGAAUACUAGGAAGAUGUUCUCGAUAGCACCUUGAUAGCAAGGCGUGGGACCCGAACUGGGAGUCAUCCCUGGGCGCAUAGGCACACACACGCU